AUUGAACGCUGGCGGCAGGCCUAACACAUGCAAGUCGAGCGGAGCGGCGGAGGGGUGCGUAAUGCCAAGGACUCUGCCUGGUAGUGGGGGAAAACGUCCGGAAACGGGGGCUAAUACCGAAUCCUCUCAGCUGAGACUGGGCCGGAUUCGCUAGUUGGUGGGGGAAAGGCCUACCAAGGCCACGUGCCGUAACUGGUCCGAGAGGAUGAUCAGUCACACUGGAAUGGAGACACGGUCCAGACUCCGACGGGCGGCAGCAGUGGGGAAUAGUGGACAAUGGGCGAAAGCCUGAUCCAGCCAUGCCGCGUGUUUGAAGAAGGUCUUCGGAUUGUAAAGCACUUUAAGUUGGGAGGCGUUACCAACAGAAGAAGCACCGGCUAACGUCGUGCCAGCCGCCGCGGUAAUAC
rnacentral:rRNA from 1 species